rnacentral:lncRNA from 1 species
UGGGUUAGGGUAAGCUGUUAAGAUUUAAACUUACUCAUUUUACCUUUCACCAUGGGGCUGGUAAUCGUCACUUCUGUGUCUUGAGCAGUUAAAAGGUAGAACGGUCUAGUCAAGCGCCAUGUCUCUUGUUCUUCAAUUAACUAUAGCUCUGGAGUUUUUGCAAAUUUUCAAAUAAAACUCAGAGAUUCCUUGUAUGACUCUCUCUAGUCUCUCUUUUGAGGUAUUUCUGGAUCCUUACCAAGGCAGUAAUAGUGUAUGCCUUCUCUCAAAGUAUGUGGUAUUUUUGGUAUAAGGCAUAGUGGCAUUGCCUUCUUUCUCACCCUACUCUAAUAAGGUUUUGAUAUCUGGAGCUCAUAGGUGGGAGACAUACUUACAAGACAUUUAUUGCAUAGUCAAACCAUGGAUCCAGAAGAACAAGUCAAUAAGUCAAAUCAAGAUGUGCAUGUGUGGCGAAUGAAUGGUGCAUGGUAAUGAUCGUGAUAACAAUAGUGAAAGUCUAAUUCUACUUAUGCUCUUAUGAGGGAAUACAUACCUUUCUUGCUCUUUUGAAACUUUUAGGGAGAAUGAGAUACUCUGUAUUUUCUUUUUCUUUCCUCUCAGGUGGGUAUCUUGUACCCCUAAUUCUACUAUCGCACACUUGUCCAUUUUUACCUCUCGUCUCACUUUUUUUUCUUUGAGGUUCCGGACACUUGCCCCUUUUUAUUUCCUUGUAUACUUUUUUCUCCCUUUUUUUAUUAGAGCACUCAUCUCCUGAAAUAUAUAGCAAGUGGUAGUAACCAAGAUAACUUGAGCAUUUAUUUCACAAGGGAAAAACAGAAAUGUUUUUGGCUAUUCUCUCCCGGAUUAGGAGUAGAAUAUUUUUGGGUGAUUCUGGAGAUGGAAAUGAGUGGAUAUAUGUGGAUGCGUACUUCCGGAGUAGAAGCAGCAUGUAUGAGUGAACGUGCAAGUGAAACUUGAUUUAACCACAUGACAAGCUCCUAAGGGUCUACACAGCUUGACCACACUCAAUGCUCAUAAGCAGUAAAAAGUAAAUGUAUGGUUCAUAGUCUAACAAGCAUGUAUAUAUAUGGCUGAGGUAGGAAUUUAAACUCUCAUCAUAUAGGAACUCAUCAUGCAACAUUUUAAAGAUUUUCAAAAAUAAAAUUCUCCAGAAUUCUAGCAUCUCUAGGAAUAGAUAAACAGCAGCUCAACCUUCCCAUAUCGUAUUCGUUAACGACUUAGACUUUAGAUCAAGUACUCUCCCCACAAGUUUAGGUUUAGAGCAAAUCUUAAUUAAUAACAGUCAUGCC